rnacentral:rRNA from 1 species
UGGAUCCAGACUUUGAUUAUGGCUCAGGAUGAACGCUAGCUACAGGCUUAACACAUGCAAGUCGAGGGGCAGCAUGAACUUAGCUUGCUAAGUUUGAUGGCGACCGGCGCACGGGUGAGUAACGCGUAUCCAACCUUCCGCUGACCAGGGCACAGCCCGUUGAAAGACGGAUUAAUGCCCUAUGCGCUCCUGUCGGUGCAUAUUUUCAGGAGCAAAGAUUCAUCGGUGAGCGAUGGGGAUGCGUCCGAUUAGCUUGUUGGCGGGGCAACGGCCCACCAAGGCAUCGAUCGGUAGGGGUUCUGAGAGGAAGGUCCCCCACACUGGAACUGAGACACGGUCCAGACUCCUACGGGAGGCAGCAGUGAGGAAUAUUGGUCAAUGGAGGCAACUCUGAACCAGCCAAGUAGCGUGCAGGACGACGGCCCUAUGGGUUGUAAACUGCUUUUAUGCGGGGAUAAACUGCACUACGUGUAGUGCAUUGCAGGUACCGCAUGAAUAAGGACCGGCUAAUUCCGUGCCAGCAGCCGCGGUAAUACGGAAGGUCCGGGCGUUAUCCGGAUUUAUUGGGUUUAAAGGGAGCGUAGGCCGGAGCUUAAGCGUGCCGUGAAAUUUUGUGGCUCAACCAUGAGAGUGCGGCGCGAACUGGGUUCCUUGAGUGCGCUGAAGGCAGGCGGAAUUCGUGGUGUAGCGGUGAAAUGCUUAGAUAUCACGAAGAACCCCGAUUGCGAAGGCAGCCUGCCGUAGCGUUACUGACGCUGAAGCUCGAAAGCGCGGGUAUCGAACAGGAUUAGAUACCCUGGUAGUCCGCGCGGUAAACGAUGGAUGCCCGCUGUUGGCGAUAUAUUGUCAGCGGCCAAGCGAAAGCGUUAAGCAUCCCACCUGGGGAGUACGCCGGCAACGGUGCAACUCAAAGGA